CUCCCACCCCAAAGGCACAAGUCAAGAAGGCACUGUCGGUUCCCGCCAUAAUUAUUAUUUGUCAGUUUUUCGACUGCUUGUUUUGUUAUUUAUGGCCUAGGAGUGUCCUGCAAUGGAGCUUGUAAAACCAAGACAAAUAUUUUCCACAUAUAAGCUGUCUUUCAUUUUGGACCUGACUCAGCUUUGACCCUGAUCCCCUGAAGCGGCAUACAUUCUGGAGCAUGACUAUAGGUGGUAGCGUGACAUGGAUGUCAGUCUACGCUAUAAACCAAUCCCAGGUGCAACGCUACAUCUCUUGCAAAACACUGCGCCAUGCCAAGAUGGCUUUGUAUGUGAACAUGGUGGGCUUGUGUGUGACUCUUAGUCUGGCAAUGCUGUCUGGCCUCGCUAUGUUCUCCAUUUACAAGAACUGCGACCCGUUCACCAAUGGCGAUGUCGGUUCCACAGACCAGGUACUUCUCAACCCGGCCAUCACACAGGCGCUUGCCUAUGCGUUGAAUAACAAUGUCUUUGCAAAAAAA